ensembl:lncRNA
UACCAGCACUUGAGACUAGAGACCGCCCUUAGCUACGUAUGCGCGCGUCCACGCGAAUGGCUGGAAAUGCUGCGGCUGAGAGCUAAAGUGUGCGAGACCAGCGACGCGUGAUUACUUUUACCAACCAUUAAAAUAUUCCGCGGAUUCGACAUUUCCAUUGCAGGACAGCUCAUCGUGAUCGGAUUAAGAUGGUGUCAAGAGUUUAAAGGAAUGUGACGGAGCACAAAACCGAUAACGGUAUUUCGGGCUGACCCUGACAUCCUGUUGUUUCUCUAUUGUUAUGCUCCAAAGUUCAGCUUGUUUGGAUGAUUCGUUUCCCGGGUCUACAACCCUUCAUUGUCAAGAGGCAGUGCUACAACCUGUCAGGAGGAGAAG